UACUUUAAUACUUCGUUAAAUCUAGUCACAGAGUCAGAGAGUGUUAGCGCCAUCUAUUGUCAUGUGGUUGACCUGAUAAUGAAUAAAAAUAAUUAAAUAAGAUAAAAUAAAUGAUUAAUAUUAGAAAUGAAAUGAAGAUAAUUUCAGUAUAAUUUAUCAUAAUAGUAUAGCUAACACAACGCUGUUGUGGUCGACUGAACUUUUGGUAGUUUUAAUUUGUUGUCGCUGUUAAUUUUCAUAGUUUCCGAUUGUUUACGUUCUUGUUGCCAUGUGUUUUACAGAUAUCUAUUUUAAGGUAAUUGAAUUGUGAAUUUUACCAUUUUUGAGAUUUUAAUUGUAUGACUAGGAUGUUUUGUCAAAAGGUGACUCUCAUUUUUAUGGUUCUGCCUUAUUUUGCAUUGUUAGGUUCAGAUCAAUUGUAAGUCCAGAUUUAGUGCCCUGAAGAUGGCCAUGUAAAUGACCGAAAGCUAGGCCAAGUAUAAUAAAGUACUUAAUAAGAUCCUUAAGUGACUUUAUACCCAAAACUUCAUUUGAUGAAGCACACCAUUAGUAAGGAAGGUUUUGUUAAUUUAUCACAGAAUUCUGAUAAAUUAAAAUAGUAAUGAAGUAGAUCAUUAUAGAUUAUUUAUUAAUUUUUCACAAAUAUGUGCAAAUACGACUGCAUUAAAUUAACAAUUUGAAGUAACAAGAAUUAAAAUGAUAAAUAUAGGAUUUUGUAUGAUUAUAUUUAUAUUCAGCAGUUGAGAAAUUUAUAUUAUAUAUACAUAUUAAGGAAGGAUAAAACAAAAAUAAAACGCUGGAAAAAUUUUAUUCAUUAUAAACGUACAUCAUCUUACAUUAUUGAUAAAUUUUUUCAUGAAUUUGGACGAGUAUUCCGUUUGAAUUCUUUAUUAUUUGACCAAGCCUGGUCCCAAACGUUGGUCGAGUAAUAAUAAAUUUCAACGGAAUAUUUGUCUAAAUUACUGAAAAAGCUUGUCAAUAAUGGUGACAAAAAUUAUACACAAAUAAAUAAAGGGACAAAAAUAAAUUGAGUUUUCAUCUUCAUCCCCCGAAAAUUAUUUCGGUUCGAACAGGAGAAAUUAUACUUUCAUAAAUAACGCAUAAUAUUCAUAAAAAAAUAUUCUCGAAAUGAACAUCAUAUGAGCACGAAGAAAAAGUAAGUCAAACUCGAUCAAUCAAAAAGAAACACAACCAGGAAUCUUCGAAUGACUAUUUCAACGUCUUUUGCAUUAUUUCUGAAGAUAAAAUAUACUUUCUUCUCAUAACAACUUUCUGAGAGAAAUUUCAUAGUUCUGUAUGUACAUUGCUCUUUG